UACAGAGGUCCCGAGCGUUGUUCGGAUUCACUGGGCGUAAAGGGUGCGUAGGCGGUUCUGCAAGUCUGAUGUGAAAUCUCCAGGCCCAACCUGGAAACUGCAUUAGAAACUACAGGGCUAGAGGCUUGGAGGGGGAACUGGAAUUCUCGGUGUAGCAGUGAAAUGCGUAGAGAUCGAGAGGAACACCAGUGGCGAAGGCGAGUUCCUGGACAAGUCCUGACGCUGAGGCACGAAAGCGUGGGGAGCAAACAGG
rnacentral:rRNA from 1 species